rnacentral:lncRNA from 1 species
GGGUUCUGAGGAAUUCGGGGUGGGUCCUGUCAGUCUUGGUUUAGCUUUUGAGUUUUUUUUAUUCUUUAUUUGCCAAAUAUUUUAGGUUGUAAUUCAUUUUCACCCACUUCUGGACACGCAAUUUCUCUUUCCACAAAUUAAAGGGGAAAAAAAAAAAGGAAUUCGAGAAAGCAUUUUAUUAUUUUACUCUUUUUCAAAAAACGAAGGCACUAAUUAAAAAGGAGGCAAACACCCACAACUUGUUUCUUGGAAUGUCA